rnacentral:rRNA from 1 species
AUCCACCCUGUGUUUCACGUCUCGCAGUUGAAGCCUUUCACCCCCAACUACAGUCCGGUGUUCUCUGAACUUCCGGUCACCACUGAUCUGUCCACUAAGGAGACCAUACCAGUGGAGAUACUGGACCGUAGAAUGAUGAAGGGCAACGCACCCGUGGUUCAAUUGCAAGUGGCCUGGGACACAGUUCCUCCGACGAUCACCUGGGAGGAUUACGACGUGCUUCGCCGGCGUUACCCGCAAGCAAGCAUCUGGGAAGACGACGCAACGGAGGAAGAAGUACGUUCUCAAGGAAGGGAGAAUGUCACCACGGCAGUGCAAGGCACCACCGCGUGA